ACUGACAGCCAUGGUUACCGCGGCUGCUGGCACGGAGUUAGCCGGUGCUUCUUCUGUGAGUGAUGUCCUUCCUGCCGGCUAUUAACCCGCAGGCCUUCUUCCUCACUGAAAGUGCUUUACAACCCGAAGGCCUUCUUCACACACGCGGCAUGGCUGGAUCAGGGUUGCCCCAUUGUCCAAUAUUCCCCACUGCUGCCUCCCGUAGGAGUCUGGGCCGUGUCUCAGUCCCAGUGUGGCUGAUCAUCCUCUCAGACCAGCUACGGAUCGUCGCCUUGGUGAGCCGUUACCUCACCAACCAGCUAAUCCGACAUAGGCUCAUCCGAUAGCGCGAGGCCCGAAGGUCCCCCGCUUUCCCCCGUGGGCGUAUGCGGUAUUAGCCUGGGUUUCCCCAGGUUAUCCCCCGACUACCGGGCAGAUUCCUAUGCAUUACCUCACCCGUCCGCCGCUCGCCACCAGGGAGCAAGCUCCCCGUGCUGCCGCUCG
rnacentral:rRNA from 1 species